rnacentral:rRNA from 1 species
AUUGAACGCUGGCGGAAUGCUUUACACAUGCAAGUCGAACGAUGAAGUCUAGCUUGCUAGACGGAUUAGUGGCGAACGGGUGAGUAAUAUAUCGGAACGUAUCCAUUAAUGGGGGAUAACUAGUCGAAAGAUUGGCUAAUACCGCAUACGUCCUACGGGAGAAAGCUAGGGACCUUCGGGCCUGGCGUUAAUGGAGCGGCCGAUAUCUGAUUAGCUAGUUGGUGAGGUAAAGGCUCACCAAGGCGACGAUCAGUAGCUGGUCUGAGAGGACGACCAGGCACACUGGAACGGAGACACGGUCCAGACUCCUACGGGAGGCAGCAGUGGGGAAUUUUGGACAAUGGGCGCAAGCCUGAUCCAGCCAUUCCGCGUGAGUGAAGAAGGCCUUCGGGUUGUAAAGCUCUUUCGCAAGGGAAGAAAACUUACCCUCUAACAUAGGGUGAGGAUGACGGUACCUUGAUAAGAAGCACCGGCUAACUACGUGCCAGCCGCCGCAGUAAGAC